CACAUUCCGUCGCCGUCCCGCGCGACGUUCAGUUGACGGCGCGAGCAACAACACCACGUCGUCGGGGGUCCGUUCAGCGCACGGAUCUGCGUAACGUGUAAAGCCCGUGGCACAGCUGCCGAGGAGGUAAAGGAGUUUGGAACAAUGGCCACCACACAAGUAAACAGAGCAAGGACCAUCAAGAAACUCGAGAAGCCUCGGCCGCUGAAGCUUCAGCGCCACGCAACCGUCGAUGGACGGAUUACGACUGUGGAGGACAUUGUGUCCUUGAUCGAUACCGUUACGAUGCACCUUACAAAUGGCUAUUUCGAUCGAACCCUGCAAAUGAACGUGAUUACAAUGUGUAAUCACCUUAAGCUGUAUGCUCAUCAGUUGGAAGCCAUUUACAAAGACCAACUGGACAGAGCGUUUGUAGCUAUUAGAAAUGGAAGCCAGGACGAAAGGCUGGAUGUAACGACUAGGGUUUACUUGCUGGAGUUGAUUGAAUUGAGAGCUAAGCAAUGGCAUCAUACGGACUCGAUGGAUGCCUACUAUUGCCAGAAAUUGUCGCAUUUAGAUACUCAAGGAGAUGUGACAACCCCUGAAACACCUUCGAGUCUGUUAACGUCGCCUCUAAUUCCGAUGUCUUCACCCGUCGCUGCUCCCAUUCUAGGACCAGGCGAAGUGAUAAAGAACAGUGGAAAGUUUGCGAAGCCCACACGAAUCGCUGGGAAGAAUUACUGCAAGGAUGAAGUUGUCAUACGUAACAGUGACUCUGGGAAAGUGAUGGGAAUAAAAGGGCGACGGGUUCACAUGAUCGAAGAGCUCAGCGAGACGAUCAUCUCCUUCCAGCGAGUAAAUCCUGGAGCCAAAGAACGACUUGUCCAAAUAACGGGGACCUCCGAGGACAAGAUACAUUAUGCGAAGGAUCUGAUAAAAGAUACGAUACAGCGAAACGCAUCACCGGUGCGACUGGAGCAAGGUGGAGGUGAGAAGGGCGGCAUCGGUGGCUCGAGCUCGUCGCUGAAUAGCAGCGCCUCCGACGAGAGCAAUCGGCUGCAACAGCAACAACAGCAACAGCAGGGCUCACGUUCGCGCUCCUCCCUCCUCCACAGCUUCUCCACCAACGACGCCAGCAUCGGCGAGUACAAAUACACCGUUACGGUCGGCAACCACUCCCUCAAGAUUACAGGGUGUAAUCUAGACCUCGUCAGGACUGCGAAGUUAGUCCUAGACGAGUACUUCUCGGGUGAUCCGGAGAACCUCGCAGCAGGUAUCGAGUACUUCAGCUUCGAGGAGGAGCCCUCCUUCGUUUCGUCGAAUUCAUCGGUGCCGCUGACCCCUUUGACCCCUCUGACCCCUCUGACCCCGUUGACUCCGGCGAUGGCCAGCGCCCUGGGUCGGGAUAUCAACCUGGAAAGCGGGAUCGCCUCGGAGGGCGAGGAAGUCUUCAAAUCUAGGAACAGCUCCGGAUCUCAGUCGGGUCUCAUCGAAGAUGGCCCGGUGAGCAGGGUGCUGACCUACGAGUUUCUGUUACAAUGCUCAACGGGACCUUACGCGAAGCGACCCCCUGCAGACUGGGUUCGCAUACAAAAGGAACACCCGAAUAUCGUACGCAAGGCACCGAUUCGCUGGUUCGAACCGGAGGCAUACAAGGCGAAGGUUGCGGCUGCCGGUUUCGUUACGGUAUUACCCCAUGGAAUGUGUGGCGACACGGAGAACGACCCCGAGUGAUGUUCGCUCUCGUCGCCGAAGCUCCGAAAUUUAACUUCGACUCGGCUGAAUCUGUGAGCUGCGAUUCCGUUUUUCAGGGUCAUUAGACCAGGAAUCGUCCCCGGGACAACGAGACCCUCUUUUCGGCCCUUCGACUUCAUCUGGAACCGUUCCCAUUUUUUUGUUCUUUCUUCUUGUAACUCCCUAUUAAUUAGAUCAACGCGGAAAUACCGUCCAAAGCUCCGGAAUCAAAUUUCGAAGCUCCAGAAAUUAAUCCCAGUUCCCUGGGUUCAGGGACCGCCUUUUCUUUUCUUUUCUUUUCUUUUUUUACUGAAUUCCGGAAUUCCUGAAUUUAAUUGCAAUUACCGUGUACGUUUUCAUUUUCCUCUCUUCUUAUAACUUCCUAUUAAUUCGAUCAACGCGGAAAUACCGUCUAAAGCUCCGGAAUCAAAUUUCGAAGCUCUAGAAACUAAUCCCAGUUCCCUGGAUUCAAAGACCGAAGUUUCUUUUCUUUCUUUUUUUUUUAUCAAAUUCCGGAAUUCCUGAAUUUAAUUGCAAUUGCCUGGAAAUGUUUUCAUUUUUUUUUUUUCUUUGUAAUCUUCAAUUGACUUGAUUAAUGCCGAGUUUAAACUGGAGAUAUCUUCCGAAGCUUCCCCCUUUUUGGCCCUUUGACUUGAUCUGGAGCCGUCCCCAUUUUUUAUUUCUUUCUUAUAAUUCCGUAUUAAUUCGAUCAACGCGAAAAUAUCGUCCAAAGCUCCGGAAUCAAAUUUCGAAGCUCUAGAAAUCAAUCCCAGUCCCUUGGGUUGAGGGAUCGCCUAUUCUUUUUUUUUUUUACUGAAUUCCGGAAUUCCUGAAUUUAAUUGCAAUUGCCUAGAAACGUUUUCAUUUUUUUUUUCUUUGUAAUCUUCAAUUAAUUUGAUUAACGCUGGGUUUAAACUGGAGAUAUCUUUCGAAGCUUCAAAAUGAAAUUUCGGAACUCCAGAAAUGAAUCGCAAUCCCCUUGAAUUCUGGGAUUGUUUUUUAUUUAACACUAAAUCUACCACCGGCGGAUCAAAUUGACCAUUUUAAAUGGUAUUUGUAACGGGGGUAUAAAUCGUCGGUAGGUUUAGUGAUAAACUAUGAAGUGCAAUUUCGGAGUUCCUAAAUUUAAUUACACUCACCUGGAAUCGUUUUCUUCGUUUUCUUUUUGUUUUUUUAAUUCCACCAAUGCGGAAAUUAAGUCGGAGAUAUUUUCCGAAGCUUCAAAAUGAAAUUUCGCAACUCUAGAAAUUAAUCGCAGCCCCCUUUGAAUUCUGGGUCGAUUUCUCAUUGAACUCUAAAACCGAACGUCGGAGUUUCUCAAUUCAAUUACAGUGAACUCGAACUCGAAGACUGCGAGUUCCUUUGAGCGAAUAUCGUGACGAUUUCGAGAAUGGCUCGUGGACGUUUUUUCCUUUACUGAUUUUUCAGACCAUACGAAAAGUCGAAUCGGUUCGGACAAAAGUGUCCUGAGUUUUGGUGAACACUUUUUUACUCGAAAUUUCAUUACUUUACGAUCCGGCCCUUCUCUUGUCUUUGAACUUUACUCGUUCAAAGACGCUACUCUUUGCAAGUAACGUUAAGUGCACGCUCGACGAUGCAAUUGAAUUAGAGCUUCGAAUACUCAUAAGACGAUGGAUGCGGUUAUUGGUAUUCUUAGUGUAAAUCCUUGACUUUCGUUUUCUGAGACAGUCCUGUAAUUGUAAAAGCAAUUACCCUGUACCGGAUAAACGUUCGAACGAUUGAAAUAGGUAUGAUGAUUCGUUGGACUUGUUUCAGAAAAGUACAACCUUCGAAGCAAAGGCAUAAGGAUGUCAGCAAUCGCAUCCAUUAUGCAUAAUGUGAAAUGCCGACGUUUAAUCCUUUCACUCCUUUUGCGAUUGGAUUCAGCUAUUGUGCGUCGGCGUGACUAAAGGGUGUCUUAGCUCAAUUCCAGCUGCCGACUGAAACUAAAUUCUUAGCUGCAGUGGCAGCUGGUUUCGAAGACGCUUCCUCGUUAGCACUGGUUCGACUGUCUUCGACGUCAUCCUGGCACCUUUUACUUUCCGUCGGUUCUUCUUGGGGCUCCCUCUCAGGCUCCACAGACAACGAAGACAUUUUUCCAACUAAGAAAACCAGUAGAAAAUAAUCAGUCAAAAACUCACGUUUAGACGUCAGUGAUGAUUGGUGCACUAAGCCAUGUAACAUAAUACAAUAGAAAAAUGAUAGAGUUAACCACUAAUAAACGA
rnacentral:misc_RNA from 1 species